UACGUAGGGUGCAAGCGUUGUCCGGAAUUAUUGGGCGUAAAGAGCUCGUAGGCGGUUUGUCGCGUCGGAUGUGAAAACCCGGGGCUCAACCCCGGGCCUGCAUUCGAUACGGGCAGACUAGAGUUCGGUAGGGGAGUCUGGAAUUCCUGGUGUAGCGGUGAAAUGCGCAGAUAUCAGGAGGAACACCGAUGGCGAAGGCAGGUCUCUGGGCCAUAACUGACGCUGAGAAGCGAAAGCAUGGGGAGCGAACAGG
rnacentral:rRNA from 1 species